rnacentral:rRNA from 1 species
UACAGAGGGUGCGAGCGUUGUUCGGAAUUAUUGGGCGUAAAGCGCUUGUAGGCGGCUUGUUAAGUUCCGUGUGAAAUCCCCAGGCUUAACUGAGGAAGUGCAUCCGAAACUGGCAGGCUAGAGUACCAAAGAGGGUCGCGGAAUUCCCGGUGUAGAGGUGAAAUGCGUAGAUAUCUGGAGGAACACCGGUGGCGAAGGCGGCGUCCUGGACCAACACUGACACUGAGGAGCGAAAGCCAGGGGAGCAAACGGG